rnacentral:rRNA from 1 species
UGGCUCAGGACGAACGCUGGCGGCGUGCUUAACACAUGCAAGUCGAACGGAAAGGCCCUGCUUUUGUGGGGUGCUCGAGUGGCGAACGGGUGAGUAACACGUGAGUAACCUGCCCUUGACUUUGGGAUAACUUCAGGAAACUGGGGCUAAUACCGGAUAGGAGCUCCUGCUGCAUGGUGGGGGUUGGAAAGUUUCGGCGGUUGGGGAUGGACUCGCGGCUUAUCAGCUUGUUGGUGGGGUAGUGGCUUACCAAGGCUUUGACGGGUAGCCGGCCUGAGAGGGUGACCGGCCACAUUGGGACUGAGAUACGGCCCAGACUCCUACGGGAGGCAGCAGUGGGGAAUAUUGCACAAUGGGCGGAAGCCUGAUGCAGCAACGCCGCGUGCGGGAUGACGGCCUUCGGGUUGUAAACCGCUUUCGCCUGUGACGAAGCGUGAGUGACGGUAAUGGGUAAAGAAGCACCGGCUAACUACGUGCCAGCAGCCGCGGUGAUACGUAGGGUGCGAGCGUUGUCCGGAUUUAUUGGGCGUAAAGGGCUCGUAGGUGGUUGAUCGCGUCGGAAGUGUAAUCUUGGGGCUUAACCCUGAGCGUGCUUUCGAUACGGGUUGACUUGAGGAAGGUAGGGGAGAAUGGAAUUCCUGGUGGAGCGGUGGAAUGCGCAGAUAUCAGGAGGAACACCAGUGGCGAAGGCGGUUCUCUGGGCCUUUCCUGACGCUGAGGAGCGAAAGCGUGGGGAGCGAACAGGCUUAGAUACCCUGGUAGUCCACGCUGUAAACGGUGGGUACUAGGUGUGGGGUCCAUUCCACGGGUUCCGUGCCGUAGCUAACGCUUUAAGUACCCCGCCUGGGGAGUACGGCCGCAAGGCUAAAACUCAAAGGAAUUGACGGGGCCCCGCACAAGCGGCGGAGCAUGCGGAUUAAUUCGAUGCAACGCGUAGAACCUUACCUGGGUUUGACAUGGAUCGGGAGCGCUCAGAGAUGGGUGUGCCUCUUUUGGGGUCGGUUCACAGGUGGUGCAUGGCUGUCGUCAGCUCGUGUCGUGAGAUGUUGGGUUAAGUCCCGCAACGAGCGCAACCCUUGUUCACUGUUGCCAGCACGUUAUGGUGGGGACUCAGUGGAGACCGCCGGGGUCAACUCGGAGGAAGGUGGGGAUGACGUCAAGUCAUCAUGCCCCUUAUGUCCAGGGCUUCACGCAUGCUACAAUGGCUGGUACAGAGAGUGGCGAGCCUGUGAGGGUGAGCGAAUCUCGGAAAGCCGGUCUCAGUUCGGAUUGGGGUCUGCAACUCGACCUCAUGAAGUCGGAGUCGCUAGUAAUCGCAGAUCAGCAACGCUGCGGUGAAUACGUUCCCGGGGCUUGUACACACCGCCCGUCAAGUCAUGAAAGUUGGUAACACCCGAAGCCGGUGGCCUAACCGUUGUGGGGGAGCCGUCGAAGGUGGGACUGGUG